rnacentral:tRNA from 1 species
GGGCCCGUGGCAUAACGGCUAUUGCGCUUCCAUGGCAUGGAAGAGAUUAGGGGUUCAAAUCCCCUCGGGUCCA